UUAUUAGUCUUACAAAGAACCUUGGAGCCUAAAGUACUUUUGCAAUAUGAAAUUAUUUCAAGUUAUUGUUGCAGUUUCCUGCAUUAUAGCCUUUGCCAUGGCAACUCCAGGCAAUAAUGCAAUUACGGGAAAUGGUAAUACUAAGAAUACACAGAAGAAUAGCGAUUUCGGUUUUAAAUUAUUCAGAUAAUUUAUACCUUUAAUUGAAUGAUAUUAUUAAUAAAUGACAAAAUAACAGUUUUAUUGUAA